rnacentral:rRNA from 1 species
GAUGAACGCUGGCGGCGUGCCUAAUACAUGCAAGUCGAGCGAACGGACGAGAAGCUUGCUUCUCUGAUGUUAGCGGCGGACGGGUGAGUAACACGUGGAUAACCUACCUAUAAGACUGGGAUAACUUCGGGAAACCGGAGCUAAUACCGGAUAAUAUUUUGAACCGCAUGGUUCAAAAGUGAAAGACGGUCUUGCUGUCACUUAUAGAUGGAUCCGCGCUGCAUUAGCUAGUUGGUAAGGUAACGGCUUACCAAGGCAACGGUGCAUAGCCGACCUGAGAGGGUGAUCGGCCACACUGGAACUGAGACACGGUCCAGACUCCUACGGGAGGCAGCAGUAGGGAAUCUUCCGCAAUGGGCGAAAGCCUGACGGAGCAACGCCGCGUGAGUGAUGAAGGUCUUCGGAUCGUAAAACUCUGUUAUUAGGGAAGAACAUAUGUGUAAGUAACUGUGCACAUCUUGACGGUACCUAAUCAGAAAGCCACGACUAACUACGUGCCAGCAGCCGCGGUAAUACGUAGGUGGCAAGCGUUAUCCGGAAUUAUUGGGCGUAAAGCGCGCGUAGGCGGUUUUUUAAGUCUGAUGUGAAAGCCCACGGCUCAACCGUGGAGGGUCAUUGGAAACUGGAAAACUUGAGUGCAGAAGAGGAAAGUGGAAUUCCAUGUGUAGCGGUGAAAUGCGCAGAGAUAUGGAGGAACACCAGUGGCGAAGGCGACUUUCUGGUCUGUAACUGACGCUGAUGUGCGAAAGCGUGGGGAUCAAACAGGAUUAGAUACCCUGGUAGUCCACGCCGUAAACGAUGAGUGCUAAGUGUUAGGGGGUUUCCGCCCCUUAGUGCUGCAGCUAACGCAUUAAGCACUCCGCCUGGGGAGUACGACCGCAAGGUUGAAACUCAAAGGAAUUGACGGGGACCCGCACAAGCGGUGGAGCAUGUGGUUUAAUUCGAAGCAACGCGAAGAACCUUACCAAAUCUUGACAUCCUUUGACAACUCUAGAGAUAGAGCUUUCCCCUUCGGGGGACAAAGUGACAGGUGGUGCAUGGUUGUCGUCAGCUCGUGUCGUGAGAUGUUGGGUUAAGUCCCGCAACGAGCGCAACCCUUAAGCUUAGUUGCCAUCAUUAAGUUGGGCACUCUAAGUUGACUGCCGGUGACAAACCGGAGGAAGGUGGGGAUGACGUCAAAUCAUCAUGCCCCUUAUGAUUUGGGCUACACACGUGCUACAAUGGACAAUACAAAGGGCAGCGAAACCGUGAGGUCAAGCAAAUCCCAUAAAGUUGUUCUCAGUUCGGAUUGUAGUCUGCAACUCGACUACAUGAAGCUGGAAUCGCUAGUAAUCGUAGAUCAGCAUGCUACGGUGAAUACGUUCCCGGGUCU